CAAAGCCCUCUGUUUCUACGUUAACUCUUCAUCUGCCAGGCGCAGGAACGGUCACUGCGCAGGAUCAAGCUACAAUGAAGAGGAGGGAGGCAGUCUGCGCGCACCGCCAUUUUCUAGGAACUGGGAAGCCCCCCCACCCCUUAGGAAGAUCCAUCCCUGUGGAACCUUGCCCAGGCUUACCAGCCUUUGCUGAGGUUGAUCUAUUGUCCCUCCUUGUCCCCAUCAAAAUAUCCAGCACUCCACCUUCAGGGAGUAGACUUGACCCUCAAAUAGCAAGUUCAGCCUUCCCAGGUCUAGGUUCCCUGGGAGGUCAAGAUUCGUCUGGUUCCUUAGUACAGAGGGCUAGCUGUGAGUUGGAAUCCCCCUAUGAGCUUUAGAAUCAGUCAAGAGGAAUUGGGCCCCUUCCCUUCAUCCCUCUUCUUUUCCCUUUUUGUCCCAGAGCUCAGCUCUGACUCAAAAGUUUUUCCAUUUACCAUCAACAUGGAAACUUGGCUCCUCACGUAGGUAUAUUAUCCCCCUUUUGUACAUGGUCUUGUUGAUCCAAACUCCCUUUCUGUGAAAGAGGCCUGUGGGGCUCAAGAAGCCUGGUCAGCCAGCCAGGCUAGUCCCACAUACCUCAGAACCAGUUUAAUAAAGGCUCUAUGUCAUUCUUUUUUGCUUGGGCUGAUUGGUGUGCUGAUUCAGAAGACCUUGAUAUUUUAUUCUUUCCCCCAAACCAGCUCAAUUGGUGUUUGUGCUAGAGGGAGAUGGACCAUGGGGAGGGCUGUUAUAAGGGAUAUCCUUGGCCCUCCCACUUCCCCCUUUGAAGGAUGCCCUUGUUAUCUUAGGCAGGGACCUGAUACCGGUUGGUUCAGUAGAUAUCUGGCAGUUUACUCUGAGCAUUUACCUUAUAUUAGGGCAAGAACUAAAGGAACAAAUAUAUCCACCUCAAUGUCAGGUCAAAUGGGAGGAUGUGGAUGGGAGUAAAGAGUGAUUAGUAUUGAGGUCGUGGAAUUUUAUUGGUUACUAUUUUUAUAACUUUGGUCUUCGAGUCCUUGAAUGAAGGUAAACGGAGACUUAUUAGGGAACAAAUUACUAGUGGCAGGGUGGUGGUGUCCUGGUGUCCUGCUUAGAAUGUGAAGAGAGUGCCCCAUCAUUGGCCUAUGCUGUGCAUCUGGGAGGUGGUAGGCCACAGUCCUGAACUGCACAACUGGUAGUGAAAUUCAGAGCAGAAUGCAACAUUUAUUUAAUGGGGCCUCACAGUUGGCCAGUGUCCCUGUGGCCUUUCCCCUUCUUCCUUCCACUCUGUGUCAUGGAGACCCGACUUGAUUUGGCAAGAGAACAACGUACACCUAAGAUUUCCCGAAUAUUUCCCAGCAAGGACCCUGGCUGGCUAUGUUUCUACUUCAGUGGUGACCACAGCAGAUACUGGCAGUUUUCUGUUAUGGCUCUGGGGUCUUUUAAGGAGCAGGAACGUGGAAUAUGUACAAACCUGGAGCCACAGUCAAGUACUAAGCUCCUUGAAGCACAAGGCAUGAGAAUAUCAUGUUUUCUUUUCCUUAGAGGAUUUAUGAAUUAAAACUAAGGAAUAAUUUGUAAUCAGAAUAACACCACCUGGCAGGGAUGUUGAUGAGCUGAGGAAGGCUUAUUUGGAGAUUUCUGGUAUUUUCCAGCUCUGAGACUCCAGACCUAAUAUCCAUGUAAUGGCCAUUAAUGUCUUGUAAUUUAUAACAGUUUUAUCAGUGAUCCAUUACAUUAAUCAUCAUGAGUUGGUGACUUAUCAAGUCCUACAGGUUAUUUGUUAUUUGUAUAACUAUAUAGAGCUAUUUAAUUUACAAACACAAUACUCUUUUGAGGUAGAUACCAGAACCAUUUUACAUUUGAGGAUAUUGAAGCUAGGAAAAAGACUCAGCUCUUGAAGGAAUGGACAUGGGGUGCCCUUGCCUUCCUUGGGGAGAGAGCCACCUAAUCUGUGCAGCUGUAGUUAGGGCCUGCCACCUUAUUCCUCCUCUCCAUCCAGCCCCUACAUUUUGGAAACAAAAAGGCAGCAGUGAUCUGGGAAUUAUUUAAUGCUUAGUUUGACAGGACAAAUUUUAAGGACCUUAAGAGCAACCUUUUAUUUCUUACCAUAUGAGGCACUGGGACAGGCACAGAGAAGUCAAUAUUAUUUGCCCAGUGCAUUUCUUCAUGGCUUCUGCUUUUUAAUCUUAGGCUCACUUUUUUAACCUCAUUGCUCACAUGUUAUGAUUCCUUCCAGAAAGUUCACUGAAAUUCUAAUGUCCCUUGCUGUUCCUUAGGUAACUUAGGAGUAACUUUCCAGCUCUUCCCCUAACUAGUUGUGUGACGUGCAGCAGGCUGCUUAACUUCUGUGUGUCUCAGUUUUCUCAACUGUAAAAUGAAUGAUCCAACCCCUGUGUCAGAAGGAUGGGUGAGGCUCAUGAGGAAUAACACAUAAGAAAUAUGGGAUGCUUACCACAGUGUUUGGUAAAUAACAUGAGUUUCCUCUUCCCUCUUUGAACAGUCCUUUGUAUUCUGCUGAGAGCUUUCCUGUUCAUGCUGCCUCACAACCAAAAGGGGAAAGAAUCCUGAGUCCUGUGCUCAUGAUUUCUCCCUUUGCUAGCUGGUUCAAGGCCAAUCCAGAUACCAUGGUAUUUUCUGAAAGAGUCCCAC
rnacentral:lncRNA from 1 species